ensembl:miRNA
CGCCCACCUCAGCCUCCCAAAAUGCUGGGAUUACAGGCAUGAGCCACCGCAGUUGACCAUGACCUGGACAUGUUUGUGCCUGGGAUUGUCAGUUUGCAG